rnacentral:rRNA from 1 species
CCCUUAGAUGUUCUGGGCCGCACGCGCGCUACAAUGGUCUUCGCAAACGGAUGCAUUCUCGAAGGAGAAUGCCAAUCUUGGAAUCUAUGCCUUGGUCGGGACAGUUGCUUGCAAUUUUUCGACUCGAACCAGGAAUUACUUGUAAUCGUGAUUCAUCACAUCACGAUGAAUACGUCCCUGCCCUUUGUACACACCGCCCGUCGCUCCUACCGAUCGAAGAGUUAGGUGAAUUGUUUUGAUCGAUAAGAUUUGACUAUGGUCAACUCUCGUUGUGAAAUUCUGUGAAUCUGACUGUUUAGAGGAAGGAAAAGUCGUAACA